rnacentral:rRNA from 1 species
UCCCAGACUCCUACGGGAGGCAGCAGUGGGGAAUAUUGCACAAUGGGGGGAACCCUGAUGCAGCGACGCCGCGUGAGUGAAGAAGUAUUUCGGUAUGUAAAGCUCUAUCAGCAGGGAAGAUAAUGACGGUACCUGACUAAGAAGCCCCGGCUAACUACGUGCCAGCAGCCGCGGUAAUACGUAGGGGGCAAGCGUUAUCCGGAUUUACUGGGUGUAAAGGGUGCGUAGGUGGCAGGGCAAGUCAGAUGUGAAAGCCCGGGGCCCAACCCCGGUACUGCAUUUGAAACUGUCCGGCUGGAGUGCAGGAGAGGUAAGCGGAAUUCCUAGUGUAGCGGUGAAAUGCGUAGAUAUUAGGAGGAACACCAGUGGCGAAGGCGGUCUGCUGGACAGCAACUGACGCUGAGGCGCGAAAGCGUGGGGAGCAAACAGGAUUAGAUACCCCUGUA